GGAAGCAGAGCUUCCUGUUCCUCGUCUGCUACUCUGCUUCAAUUGGGCACCGGGAAAAGCGAUGCUGCCGGGUGCUCGGGUUCUUGGAGAGGGGAUGGAAUGGAAUGAUGGAUCGAUGCGGGAUGCGUUGCUGUUGCUAGCGGCUUCUGAUUGGAGAGAGGAGAGAAGCUGGUUGCUUGUGUUACCGUGAACGUGAAGGAAAACAGAGUAGGGAGGAGAGCAAGCUGCUGGUGCAGGAGCAUCAUGGCUACGGCAAUGGCAGCGCCACGCAUUCGAUUCAUGGACGCGCAGGCCCCGGUGGUGAUGCAAGCCACGGUGGUUCCUGCAUGACAAUAGGUUCUUGUUACAAGACAGUCAUCAGUCAUAUUGUGAAGAACUGAUGACAGUUUUGAACACAAAUAUAGGAUUUCAUCACGAUACACUAGAGGUUUACAAUCAUCAACUACUGCAGGGGAAAAAAAUGGAGCUAGUAUUUUUGAAAAA